UUGGUUAAGUUAGAAAGGGCGCACGGUGGAUGCCUUGGCACUAGGAGCCGAAGAAGGACGGGACUAACACCGAUAUGCUUUGGGGAGCUGUACGUAAGCGUUGAUCCAGAGAUUUCCGAAUGGGGGAACCCACUAUCUUUAGUCGGAUAGUAUCCUUACGUGAAUACAUAGCGUGAGGAAGGCAGACCCAGGGAACUGAAACAUCUAAGUACCUGGAGGAAGAGAAAGAAAAAUCGAUUUCCUGAGUAGCGGCGAGCGAAACGGAAAGAGCCCAAACCAAGAAGCUUGCUUCUUGGGGUUGUAGGACACUCUAUACGGAGUUACAAAAGAAAGUUAUAAAUGAAGCGGUCUGGAAAGGCCCGCCAAAGACGGUAACAGCCCGGUAGUUGAAAUGGCUUUCCCUCCAGAGUGGAUCCUGAGUACGGCGGAACACGUGAAAUUCCGUCGGAAUCCGGGAGGACCAUCUCCCAAGGCUAAAUACUCCCUAGUGACCGAUAGUGAACCAGUACCGUGAGGGAAAGGUGAAAAGCACCCCGGAAGGGGAGUGAAACAGUUCCUGAAACCGUGUGCCUACAAGUAGUUAGAGCCCGUUAAUGGGUGAUAGCGUGCCUUUUGUAGAAUGAACCGGCGAGUUACGAUUUGUUGCAAGGUUAAGCGGAAAAAGCGGAGCCGUAGCGAAAGCGAGUCUGAAUAGGGCGCAUAAGUAACAGGUCGUAGACCCGAAACCAGGUGAUCUACCCAUGUCCAGGAUGAAGGUAAGGUAAUACUUACUGGAGGUCCGAACCCACGCACGUUGAAAAGUGCGGGGAUGAGGUGUGGGUAGCGGAGAAAUUCCAAUCGAACUUGGAGAUAGCUGGUUCUCUCCGAAAUAGCUUUAGGGCUAGCCUCGAGGUAAAGAGUCAUGGAGGUAGAGCACUGUUUGGACUAGGGGCCCUUCUCGGGUUACCGAAUUCAGAUAAACUCCGAAUGCCAUGUACUUAUACUCGGGAGUCAGACUGCGAGUGAUAAGAUCCGUAGUCGAAAGGGAAACAGCCCAGACCACCAGUUAAGGUCCCCAAAUAUAUGUUAAGUGGAAAAGGAUGUGGGGUUGCUUAGACAACCAGGAUGUUGGCUUAGAAGCAGCCACCAUUGAAAGAGUGCGUAAUAGCUCACUGGUCGAGUGACCCCGCGCCGAAAAUGUACCGGGGCUAAACAUAUUACCGAAACUGUGGAUGAACCUCUUUAGAGGUUCGUGGUAGGAGAGCGUUCUAAGGGCGGUGAAGUCAGACCGGAAGGACUGGUGGAGCGCUUAGAAGUGAGAAUGCCGGUAUGAGUAGCGAAAGAAGGGUGAGAAUCCCUUCCACCGAAUAUCUAAGGUUUCCUGAGGAAGGCUCGUCCGCUCAGGGUUAGUCGGGACCUAAGCCGAGGCCGAUAGGCGUAGGCGAUGGACAACAGGUAGAGAUUCCUGUACCAGUGCUAAUUGUUUAACCGAUGGGGUGACACAGAAGGAUAGGGAAUCGCACGAAUGGAAAUGUG
rnacentral:rRNA from 1 species